rnacentral:rRNA from 1 species
UAGGGAAUCUUCGGCAAUGGACGGAAGUCUGACCGAGCAACGCCGCGUGAGUGAAGAAGGUUUUCGGAUCGUAAAGCUCUGUUGUAAGAGAAGAACGAGUGUGAGAGUGGAAAGUUCACACUGUGACGGUAUCUUACCAGAAAGGGACGGCUACUACGUGCCAGCAGCCGCGGUAAUACGUAGGUCCCGAGCGUUGUCCGGAUUUAUUGGGCGUAAAGGGAGCGCAGGCGGUCAGGAAAGUCUGGAGUAAAAGGCUAUGGCUCAACCAUAGUGUGCUCUGGAAACUGUCUGACUUGAGUGCAGAAGGGGAGAGUGGAAUUCCAUGUGUAGCGGUGAAAUGCGUAGAUAUAUGGAGGAACACCAGUGGCGAAAGCGGCUCUCUGGUCUGUCACUGACGCUGAGGCUCGAAAGCGUGGGUAGCGAACAGGAUUAGAUACCCUGGUAGUCCACGCCGUAAACGAUGAGUGCUAGGUGUUAGGCCCUUUCCGGGGCUUAGUGCCGGAGCUAACGCAAUAAGCACUCCGCCUGGGGAGUACGACCGCAAGGUUG